AGAGGCGUCAGGAUCCCUGGCGCCGCCUGAGCCAGCGGCUGCUAGGAGGCUGUGUCCGCAAGCCAGCGGGGCGAGGCGGCUGGGCCCUGCGCGUCAGGUCCCGGCCUGGGGCACCGGGGCUGCCAGCGUCGGAGGAGGCCUGAGAACUGGGAGGAAGCUGGAGAAAAGAUGCCCUCUGAAUCUUUGUGUUUGGCUGCCCAGGCUCGCCUUGACACCGAAUGGUUGAAAACAGAUAUACAGAUGAUAGUGUCGAACCAAGUGGAACAAAGAAAGAAGAUCUGAAUGACAAAGAGAAAAAAGAUGAAGACGAAACUCCUGCACCUGUAUAUAGGGCCAAGUCAAUUCUGGAGACCUGGGUGUGGGUCAAGCAACCAGGAAACGGAAGCCCAAAGAGGAGGGGAGCUUACAGCAGGCCCUGGACUAGGGAUUAACACAAAAACAACAGCAACAAAUCUGAUUUAAGCUUCACACAUAAUCAAGGGAAACUGAUGCUUCAGAAAGAUGCCCCAUCUGUAUCCUGUGGCACUCAAAGUACCCCAGGUUGAGAUGAGAUGAGGAAGAUUCAAGUUGUCAAGUCCAGUUUCCCAAGAUCUCUUGCACAGAAGAUGAGCAAAUCUCACUUCAAAGAUCACUGACUGAUGGGCACUCUGGUCCCAGAACCAUGGAGAAUUCAAAUAUGAGUCUGGCUCUGUUAUCCAGGCUGGAAUGCAGUGGCGUGAUCUCAACUCAUUGCAAGCUCCACCUUCUGGGUUCAUGCCAUUCUCCUGCUUCAGCCUCCUGAGUAGCUGGGACUACAGGCGCCCAACACCACACCUGGCUAAUUUAUUGUAUUUUUUAGUAGAGACGGGGUUUCACCUUGUUAGCCAGGAUGGUCUCGAUCUCCUGACCUCGUGAUCCACCCGCCUCGGCCUCCCAAAGUGCUGGGAUUACAGGCUUGAGCCACCACGCCCAGACUUGUGAGGUUUUAAUAUGAAGUAUUAAAGCUAUGCUGGUUAGACAAUUUGGAAAAUGUUUCUUCUCCUAUUUCUGACAGAGUUUAUGUAAGAUGUGUGCUAUUUCUUCCUUAAGCAUUUGGAAAGAAUUCACUUAUUAAGCCAUGUGAGACUGUAGUUUUCUUUAUAAGGUGUUUAACUACAGGUUCAAUUACAUAUAUAUAAAUAUUCAUUUUGGUAACCUGUGUUUGCUGAAUCAAUUUGUUCAUUUUAUCGAAAAUUUCAAAGUUAUUCUAUUAUUCAUUUAUCUUUUUAAUACUUAUAAAGUCUCCGGUUAGAGUUUGUGCCUUUUGUCUGUUUUGUUAAUCAAUCUUGCUGGAGGCCAUCAAUUUUAUUAGUGUUUCAAAAAAGCAAACUUUGAUUUUAUUCAUCCCUUUACCAUACUGAAAAUGUUUUGCUUAAUUUCCAAACUUAUAGUUCCACUGUGAUUAAAUAUUUGUAUAACUAAAACUCUGUGGAAUUUGUGUCUUCUCAAUGAUUGAAAAUAUGAUUAAUUUUUAUAAAUAUUGCUUCUGCACUUGAAAAGGAUAUGUAUUCUGCAUGUUGAGCGUAGUGUACCACGUAUCUCAGUUAGGUCCAGUGUGUUAAAUGCAUCCUUUAAAGAUUCUAUGUGCUUACUGAUGUUUGUUUAUUUUUCAGUGGCUGAGACACAGAUAUUAAAGUUUCCCACAAUGAUC
rnacentral:lncRNA from 1 species